UAGCAUAUGUUUCCCUUCGAAGCAGAGUUCCAGUGUCAAAUAGCACCCUAUUCCCUGUAUAGUGAAAGUGCACUCAUUUUCUCUGGUCUAAGUAAUGUACUAUAUGGAGAAAAGGAUACCAACCCCAUACCGUGCACUCAUUUUGUCUGGUCAAAAGGAGUGCACUAUAUGGGGAAUAGUGUGUUAAUUCAGACAGAACCACAGUACUAUGAUCUCUGGUUUAUUUGUGUGGAGCAGAGAGGGAAAUGGAGAGAGAAGAGCAGAGAGGAGAGAGAAGAGAGGAGAGGAGAGAGGAGAGAGAAGAGAGGAGAGAGGAGAGAGAAGAGCAGAGAGGAGAGAGGAAAGAGGAGAGAGCAGAGAGGAGAGAGCAGAGAGGAGAGAGAAGAGCAGAGAGCAGAGAGGAGAGAGGAGAGAGCAGAGAGGAGAGAGAAGACGAGAGAGGAGAGAGCAGAGAGGAGAGAGGAGAGAGCAGAGAGGAGAGAGAAGAGCAGAGAGGAGAGAGGAGAGAGCAGAGAGGAGAGAGAAGAGCAGAGAGGAGAGAGCAGAGAGGAGAGAGAAGAGCAGAGAGGAGAGAGGGAAGAGCAGAGAGGAGAGAGGAGAGCAGAGAGGAGAGAGGAGAGAGCAGAGAGAAGAGCAGAGAGCAGAGAGCAGAGGAGAGAGCAGAGAGGAGAGAGAAGAGCAGAGAGGAGAGAGGAGAGGAGAGAGCAGAGAGGAGAGGAGAGAGAAGAGCAGAGAGGAGAGAGGAGAGAGAAGAGCAGAGAGGAGAGAGAAGAGCAGAGAGGAGAGAGAAGAGCAGAGAGGAGAGGGAAGAGCAGAGAGGAGAGAGAAGAGCAGAGAGGAGAGAGAAGAGCAGAGAGGAGAGAGAAGAGCAGAGAGGAGAGAGGAGAGCAGAGAGGAGAGAGAAGAGCAGAGAGAAGAGCAGAGAGGAGAGAGAAGAGCAGAGAGGAGAGAGAAGAGCAGAGAGGAGAGGGAAGAGCAGAGAGGAGAGAGAAGAGCAGAGAGGAGAGAGAAGAGCAGAGAGGAGAGAGAAGAGCAGAGAGGAGAGAGGAGAGAGCAGAGAGGAGAGAGAAGAGCAGAGAGGAAAGGGGUGAGGGGAGAGGGGAUUGGGCCCUUAGAAACCGACCACAUAGCUUGGG
rnacentral:lncRNA from 1 species